AGAGUUUGAUCCUGGCUCCGGAUGAACGCCAGCGGCCGGCCCAACACCUGCCAGUCCAGGGGCAGCCUUACUUUUCCGAGUAGAUGGCGACCGGCGCCCGGGUGCCUAACCCCUAUGCCACCCACCUUUUACCAAGGAAUAGCCCGGAGAAAUCCGGAUUAAUACCCUAUGGUACCUAUGAAGUGGCAUCACUUUAUGGUUAAAGAUUUAUUGGUAAAAGAUGGGCAUGCGUGACAUUAGCUAGUUGGUGAGGUAAAAGCUCACCAAGGCGACGAUGUCUAGGGGGUCUGAGAGGAUGAUCCCCCCACACUGGUACUGAGACACGGACCAGACUCCUACGGGAGGCAGCAGUGAGGAAUAUUGGUCAAUGGGCGAGAGCCUGAACCAGCCAUGCCGCGUGCAGGAAGACGGCCUUCUGGGUUGUAAACUGCUUUUAUACGGGAGCAAAAAGACCCUGCGGGGUAAAUUGAGAGUAUCGUAUGAAUAAGCACCGGCUAACUCCGUGCCAGCAGCCGCGGUAAUACGGAGGGUGCAAGCGUUGUCCGGAUUUAUUGGGUUUAAAGGGUGCGUAGGCGGCGUAAUAAGUCAGUGGUGAAAGCCGGCAGCUCAACUGUCGAGGUGCCAUUGAAACUGUUAUGCUUGAGUACAGACGAGGUAGGCGGAAUUUAUGAUGUAGCGGUGAAAUGCAUAGAUAUCAUA
rnacentral:rRNA from 1 species